GUGGAUUAUAAGUGGCGGGGGGCAUCGAUGUGUGCUGUUGUCUCAUAUCAGGUUAAGCGCGUAGCGGCUGCAUUUCUCAGCAGAAGCAGACAGAUUCCUCCAUCAAUGCGCUACAGGGGGUGUGCGCGUCUGGAAAUGAGUCAUAAAUAGCCUACCGUCUGAAUAAUUUGUCCAGUCAUAUGAAAAUAUAUGUAUACUAAAUUGUACAAUUGGCUACUGUCAAAGAACGGUACUCGUUUGGGAGGCAUUUGGAUAGCAAGAAGGCUUUAUGAUCAUGGCUGUCAUCCUCAUAUUGAGUCCCACUGAGUUCUAAUCACUCUGCUAAACUAGUUCUCCCACAAGUGAUGGACAUUUAAUCAUCCAAAGGAUGCAUUAUCCUGCUGAGAGAGACCAAUGCCAUCAGGAAAUACCA